GGACACAUCUCAGCAGUAUUAUCUCAGUUACUAAGCUCUUUCUUAUAUGCAAAAAUGUGAACCCUUUUUCUUUGAUCUCUAAUUUCUUCUCUUUCUCUUUGGCAGAGCUAAUGCAUCUGCAAAUUGUUUAAGCUAUCCUCCAUGUCAUCAAAAGGUUGGUGUUUAGAUCAUGAAAAUAUCUUCAUGUCACUUUCAUUGCAUACAACUAAGAUCCACUUUCCUCCCGAUUGCAGAGAGUUCGGAAUCACGGUGACUCUAAAGCCUCACCAAGUCGAAGGAGUCUCUUGGCUUAUGUACAAAUAUCUUCUCGGCGUCAAUGUCCUUCUCGGUAACUCUCCGCCCUUUUUCUUCAGAUAUAAACCAGAACUCAAAAACUUUUUUUAGUAUGAUUGCAGGUUACGAGGUACCACCACUUUUUUUUUUUGAAUCGCUAUCUUUGUGAUUGUAUCUAUGUUGAGACUAAUCUACAGAUUGAGCAUAUGGGGUUGGGGAAGACUCUAGAAGCAAUUUUUUUUUUUUAGUUAUAUGAAGUUUCUUCAAGGAUUACGAGAGCCAUUUUGUGAGUCAGUGAGAUUGGCUUCUUAAAGAUUUGUCCUUUAAGCGUAACAGAUGGUUGGGUGUGAGAGACAAAAGGUUCACUUCAGAACAUGAAGUUCUUAGGAAUCUUUGUUACUGUUUAGUGUGUUGUUUACAACGUAUGAUAUAGCAUUGCUGGAUCAAGACUUCCUUUCUCAGAUUCUGUGGCAGUAUACUGUAAUUGAUGAAGCUCAAAUACUCAAGAAUCCCAACAGAUUGAGCAGAAAGAGAUGGGAGUAGUAUACGUAGAUAUUGUGUAUGUUGUCGCUCGCUUGGGAAACAAUUGACAUAUAUUGUAUAUAUAGAUAUAGAUUUGUAGUAGCUUUUCUAAUUAAUAACUAUGAGACUCAAAAUUUUGUACUCUAUCCUUUUGGAAUUUUGUUAGGCAAGAAACUUUUCCACCAGCAUAGAGCCAUAGAUCAAGAGUCAGUUAUUGCUUUCCCUUUCGCAGACUCACUAAAGCAUUGUUUAUCAUUCCUGUAUUAACAUUAUUUUUCUUUACUCCCACAUGGAAAAUCUAUCACUUUGUUUAUAAUGAGGGUGAUGCAAUCAUAUAUGGCUUCGGAUUUCCACUUUUGGUGAAGUCUUUGUUUGAAAAUAGUAAUAUCACCUUCAUUUAAAAUUCAUCUCUGUUUUCCAAGUGAUUAUAUAGGAUCAUCGUUCUCUGUUGUAACUUGAAUGAUGAAUCUUAAUAAUUAAACAACUCCCGAUAACCACAAAAUAAAGCACCAAGUUGUUGACCUAGUUUUUGAUUUUCAGAUUGAACGAAUAAACAAAAAGAAGAUGAAAAAGUUGGUUUGUUUACAUGACACCAAAAAAUACCACUGAAAUUCAUACCUAAAACUAAAAACGAACCUUGAAAUUUGGUUGUUUAUAUAUGAUCCAUCAAUAAUAUCCAAACACGUGACAAAAAAAAGUAAAAAAAUAAUAAUAUCCAAACAUAUUGGGAUGAGUCCUUAAUGUUUUGGUUUAUACGUUUGCAAGCUAUAACAAUACAAGUUUUUCUCCCCACUCAAGUUACAAAAUGGAAAUUAUAAAACCAAAGUAGUAACACAUUAAGCAAGAGAUUGCUAAAGUUAGAAGAAGUGUCUUUUUUUAAUUAAAAAAAAAAUUCAUUAGCAUAACAAGAAAAAAAAUGCUCAAAUCAGCUUUUCCAGUCAGCAUCUGAUUUAACACAAGAAAUUGUCGGGUUUAAAAUUGAUUUUUAGGCUUGAUUUAUUAGAAAGCCAGUAAUUCAACCAUAUUAUAUAUACAACAAUAAUUAUAUUUAAGUGAGAGCACUAUAACUGUAACUUAAGAUAAAUGUUGAAAUUGAUUUUGAGAACAAAAAGGUUAAUUUAAAAUUAUUCAACAGAUUUCUAAAAAUAUUGUCAAAAAUUAAUAAUUGAGUGACUAUACAUAAUAUAGUUCAAUAAUAUAAAAAAUUCCAGUGGUAAAUAGAAAACUUUUGUAAGGAAAACAAAAAAGGAGGAAAUCUAUUUAUGAUAUUGCUUUUUGUUUCAUCAAGUUAAAAAAAUUAACAAGAAAAUUAUUGAAAACAUCAAACACAAAUUAACACAUAAUCAAAAAAAAAAAUUCAGAAAGAAGUAGUUGG